GACGAACGCUGGCGGCGUGCUUAACACAUGCAAGUCGAACGGAAAGGCCCUGCUUUUGUGGGGUGCUCGAGUGGCGAACGGGUGAGUAACACGUGAGUAACCUGCCCUUGACUUUGGGAUAACUUCAGGAAACUGGGGCUAAUACCGGAUAGGAGCUCCUGCUGCACGGUGGGGGUUGGAAAGUUUCGGCGGUUGGGGAUGGACUCGCGGCUUAUCAGCUUGUUGGUGGGGUAGUGGCUUACCAAGGCUUUGACGGGUAGCCGGCCUGAGAGGGUGACCGGCCACAUUGGGACUGCGGUACGGCCCAGACUCCUACGGGAGGCAGCAGUGGGGAAUAUUGCACAAUGGGCGGAAGCCUGAUGCAGCAACGCCGCGUGCGGGGUGACGGCCUUCGGGUUGUAAACCGCUUUCGCCUGUGACGAAGCGUGAGUGACGGUAAUGGGUAAAGAAGCACCGGCUAACUACGUG
rnacentral:rRNA from 1 species